GAUGAACGCUGGCGGCGUGCUUAACACAUGCAAGUCGAACGAAGAUGCCGGAGUGCUUGCACUUUGGCAGACUGAGUGGCGGACGGGUGAGUAACGCGUGAGGAACCUGCCUUGAAGAGGGGGACAACAGUUGGAAACGACUGCUAAUACCGCAUGAAGCAUAGGGGUCGCAUGAUCUUUAUGCCAAAGAUUUAUCGCUUCAAGAUGGCCUCGCGUCUGAUUAGCUGGUUGGCGGGGUAACGGCCCACCAAGGCGACGAUCAGUAGCCGGACUGAGAGGUUGAACGGCCACAUUGGGACUGAGACACGGCCCAGACUCCUACGGGAGGCAGCAGUGGGGAAUAUUGCACAAUGGGCGCAAGCCUGAUGCAGCAACGCCGCGUGGAGGAAGACGGUUUCGGAUUGUAAACUCCUGUUCUUAGUGAAGAAUAAUGACGGUAGCUAAGGAGCAAGCCACGGCUAACUACGUGCCAGCA
rnacentral:rRNA from 1 species